rnacentral:rRNA from 1 species
UGGCCUCAGAUCAGGGAGGAUCACCCGCCNAAUUUA